rnacentral:rRNA from 1 species
UACGGAGGGGGCUAGCGUUGUUCGGAAUUACUGGGCGUAAAGCGCGCGUAGGCGGACCUGCAAGUCAGUUGUGAAAUCUCCGAGCUUAACUCGGAACGGUCAACUGAUACUGUGCGGCUAGAGUGCGGAAGGGGCAACUGGAAUUCUUGGUGUAGCGGUGAAAUGCGUAGAUAUCAAGAGGAACACCUGCGGCGAAGGCGGGUUGCUGGGCCGACACUGACGCUGAGGCGCGAAAGCCAGGGGAGCGAACGGG